GCGGAUGUGAUGCAACUUGGUAGACAUGCAAUGUUGAGAGCGUUGUUUUUGAAGGUUCAAAUCCUUUCAUCCGCA
rnacentral:tRNA from 2 species